rnacentral:lncRNA from 1 species
AAUCUACUAUUCGAUUUUGCAAAAUUUUGAUUUUACCAUCCAACAAUUCAAUUUGUUCGAUUUGAGUAAGUCAACAGUAUUUUAACUUCAAAAUUUAUACUAAUUUUUUGUUUUGAUAAAUUUAUAGUUACGAAAAUUGCAUAAAGUAUACUAAACGAACCUGUAAAAAUAAACGACGCAUUUAAAUUUUUAAGUCAAAGUACAGCUGAUUGACUCAAAUCAAAUAAAUUGAAACGUUGGAUAGUAAAUCAAAAUUUUAAACGAUUGAAUAGCCGAUUCAAAAUAAUUUAUAAUUUAGAUAAGUUCUGUACGUUUAAUAAAAAACCGGUAAAACUAGUAAAGAUGUAUGAAUUCUUGGAUUAAAGGAUUGUAAGAUUACAACUAGUUUCAGAACUAGCAAUGCUCAGUUUUCAGCAUUGCUGCAGGCUCUCCCACAAGAUCUGAAUCCCAUCUUGCGCUGCUGUCAGAACUGCAGGAAAAAAUAAAAGUUUUUCAGCGAAGUAUGACGUCGCAUGACGGCAACACACUUCCAUAAGAGGGAAAUACUCUAGAGAAUAAAGCUGAGGUGACGUACAGAGCAUUAUAAUAUACUAAAAAUUAUUGAGUAAUGUACUCGGAUAAUCCCUGUAGUAUCCCAAUAUUAAUGAGAAUUAGAUUACUAAACUAUUAAUAAUACUAAGCAUUUGAUGCUAUUAAAUUUUCAAUCAUUAGAUGAAAAAAUGUGCGGUUAGCAUAAUAAUAAUUUUCUAAAAUUGAGCGGAUGGUUGAUCGAAUAAUAUAAUCUAACGGAUGAAAACUCAAUAGCACCAAGCACUUGAUACUAUCGAUAGUAUAAAAGCCGGACUCAUAUUAUAAGCUGGUUCUUGUAAUUGUUCUUUAAAUAUUUGGUUUUUGGAAUUAAA